GUCUACAGCCAUGCCACCCUGAACAAGCUCGAUGUCUGAUCUCGGAAGCUAAGCAGAGUCAGGCCUGGUUAGUACUUGGAUAGGAGACCACCUAGGAAGACCAGGUGCUAUAGGCA
rnacentral:rRNA from 1 species